ACAUGUGUCGGAGAAAAAUAUGAUUCUCGUAUAAUAUAUAAUAUGCAUACUGCGCAUACCUUUAACAAAAUGUUAUUAUAUUAUGACAUUUGACUGCGCUCGAUAAACAAUUCGUACCUAAUAAUAGUAUUAUUGUAUUCUAUGAAUCACGCAUACUUUGGAAAUUUCAAGCAUUACGGACCUAUGAGAAACACCGACAAUAUUUAUUUGGAGGCGAAUUUCAUUACUCAUCGUUCGUCUUGUACAGUAAAACGGCAGUGCUCGAAUUGACAUU